ensembl:snRNA U4 U4 spliceosomal RNA
UUCUUUGCUCAGUGGCAGUAUCGUAGCCAAUGAGGUUUAUCCAAGGCGUGAUUACUGCUAAUUGAAAAUUAAAAUAUACUACAAAUAAAACUCCAGGCUUUGGAGAUUUUGGUUGUAUAUUAUAGAAAAUAUUUGAAGAAA